rnacentral:miRNA from 1 species
CGCAUGUUUUUCUACAUGAU